rnacentral:rRNA from 1 species
ACUCAAAGGAAUAGACGGGGGCUCACACAAGCGGUGGAGGAUGUGGCUUAAUUCGAGGCUACGCGAAGAACCUUAUCCUAGUCUUGACAUGGUGGGAUUAACCGCUGGAAACAGCGGCCACGCCUUCGGGUGGAACCAUCACAGGUGCUGCAUGGCUGUCGUCAGCUCGUGUCGUGAGAUGUCGCGUUAAGUCGCUUAACGAGCGAAACCCUUGUCUCCAGUUGCCAGCGGGUCAAGCCGGGGACUCUGGAGAGACUGCCGGUGUUAAACCGGAGGAAGGUGGGGAUGACGUCAAGUCCUCAUGGCCUUUAUGACUAGGGCUGCACACGUCCUACAAUGGCACGCAUAAAGGGACGCCAAAUCGUAAGAUCAAGCAAAUCCCAAAAAACGUGCCCCAGUUCGGAUUGCAGGCUGCAACCCGCCUGCAUGAAGCCGGAAUCGCUAGUAAUCGCGGAUCAGAAUGCCGCGGUGAAUGUGUUCCUGAGCCUUGCACACACCGCCCGU